GCAACCACGUGAUCAGUAAAAAUCGUGUAUUUGCACGUGAAUUUGUUUUCCGGAAUUCCGUACACCGUCAUAGAGUAGUUGAAAAACAUAAAGGGGUUCCGAAAGUACAAGUUGUUGCUGUGACUGACUCGAUGAUUGAGGGGGUCGUCUCGACGAAAGAUAGAGACAGUUGGCCAUAGUUUAGAUUAGGAAUACGUCAAUGUAAUAAUAGUGGACCAAAUGUUUCGUCCGUGCAGAAUGGCACUUUUUACCUCACGACCAUGCAUAGCUGCGCUACGUAAACGAUUUUACAAAGUUGUUGAUGUAGCGUGAUCGUGAUGUCCGACUCCGAGUGCUGCGAGUUUCAAUACUGUUUAUGUAGUCAUUGAGAGUUUAAACAAAGUUUCUUCUGAGAAGAGGGAUUCGAUGGAUGCAUUCAACGUGGACAACGAGAUUAUAAUUUCGUUUGUGUCAUCCUAAGGACCAGUGCAAGUUGAAAUGGGCUUCGAGUCAACAACUUCAACAGCAAUUUGCCUUGAAAAUCAGCAAGAAAGGUACUUCAUUUACAUUGAUGAUGUCAUAUCCUCUGGACCCCACAACUUUACAGGUUACAGAGAAAAUUCAAGAACUUCUGCACAAUGUGGAACUUGGAUAGAAUCAAUAAUGUAUUUGUGAGAAAGACAAUAAUAUUGCAUAAAUGUAGAUGAAGUGUCAUUGUUGAUUAUUCUAAGUUUUUGAUAUAUCAAAAUCAGUAAACAUUUCUAAAUGAAAAUAAAAUACCAAUUUUAUAUCUUUUAAUCAAUGUGUUUGAAUUUCUCAUUUUCUACUACCCCCCCCCCCCCCCAACACAUUCAGUGCAUAUAUACCGUGAACUGGGAGAAAUUAGGGGGGGGGGGGGGUAACCGGCGCGAGCCCCCCUAAAAUUUUCAAGAUUAAGGUAAAUCGUGGUAUGUUGUUUAGAAAAAUGUAUACGAUAAAAGAAGCAAUAAUUUCCUCCAAUCUCGGAGAAAUAAAUGUCUGACAAAACGUUUUGAUUUAUUGAAUUACUUUUAGACCCCUGCCUCAUACAGUCCGUUCCCCCCCCCCCCCCC